CCUGGUCACGUGUGUUGGAGGCUGUUCCCCAGGUCAUGUGCGUUGGCAUUCCCUGUGAGCCACAAGCAGGCUCUGUCCUGCCCCUGCCCCUUCCUCCUCUGCCUUCAUGCAGCCUGUCAUGCCAAGCCUCCUCUCACUGAGACCAUCACAGCACAGACUGCCAUGUCCUGUCCACAGGACACCAGCCAAGGACAGUAUCUCACUGCUAUUUCUUUAAUGACUGUGGUCGUGGCCUUGGUCUAAAGAGCCACAUCAUCCCCGGAAUGACACAGGACAUCACAGAACCCAGGACAAAGGGAAGUUGCAGAUGCCAGCUUGUCCAUCUCACCACCCCGGACCCAGCCUAAGUCAUCUGAGAGAACUGAUUUUCAACUUUAAGAUUUCUAGGCAAACAGCCUCAUUCCUUCCUCAGUCAUCAAGUCAGCAUUUGGCCUUCUCUAAAAAAGCUCUUCCUCUUGCCCAACCUGAACCCGCUUGAAGCUUUGAGUCAUCUCCCCCAGCUGUGCACAUUUCCUGUCCCUGCUAAGAUUCAGUGAAUGACCUCAUGCACGCUUAGCCAAUAUGAGCUAAAGGCUGCUGUCCGACAAAUAAGCAUCAGCAAGGACAGGGAUCUCAAGGCCACCUCCAUCCCAGGGCCAGUCACUCGACCACUUUCCUGGCCCCAAAUCCCUCAUCAAAAGGAGAAGAUCUGGGUUCUUUCCAGAGCAAGCCCGAAUCCCUCUCCUUCUCUUUUCCUUCGCCCCCUAAAUGAUGUCAACAAAUACUUCUUUUGCUGAGUGAAGAGUUUGGCCUUCCCUUUCCUGAUGAAAAAAAAAAAAAAAGAGGUGAAGUGAGAGAGAAGGUGAGAUUUAAAAAAAAAAAAAAAAGAGUACAAAGGAUGAGGAUUCUCAAGUGUCCUGGAGGAGAGACUCCAAACAGAGAGGAGGAGACGGAGGGCAAGGGGCUCAGGGAGCUGUGGCCCCGUAGCCCCUGGUGUGUUUAAAUUUGGUGAUACCCUUCAUUUCCCAGAGAAGUCAUCUGAGGCCCCGAGAGGUGACUGGAGUGAGGUCAGAUCAUACAGCCAGGUUAAAAAAUAAUAAUAAUCAUUACAACUGGAGCUCACCAUUUCUGGUGCCUGCUUUUCACAUGGGGAAUGAUUUUAAAAGGGAAAGGCAGUUCUCCCAGACGAAGGAAAAAAGACCCGCAGACCUGAAUUAAUUGAGUCAGCAAGCAUUUACAGAGCCCCUGCUGUGUGUCCUUCACUGCCCUAGGCGCUGGGCAAUAGAGAGAAACAGGACACACACACACACACCCCCCACUCUCAGGCUUCUCAGGCUCCUCAGGCCACUGGGUAAGGCAGAGAGAUCAUGUCUGCAACAAAACCUAGUAAGUGUCAUGACUGUGCUGUGUUUAUGAUGCUAAGGGGGUGGCAGAGGGACCCGAUCCAUAAUUUAUGGGCCUCGGUGCAAAACAGAAAUGCAGAGUCCCUUAUUUUUUCAUGCUUAAGAAUUUUCAGAUGGUGGGAGUUCCCGCCAUGGCACAGCGGAAAUGAAUCCAGUUAGGAACCAUGAGGCUGAGGGUUCGAUCCC
rnacentral:lncRNA from 9 species